GACGAACGCUGGCGGUGUGCUUAACACAUGCAAGUCGAACGGAAAGGCCCUGAUUGUGUGGGGUGCCCGAGUGGCGAACGGGGGCGUGACACGUGAGUAACCUGCUCUAGAUUUUGGGGUAACAUAAGGAAAGUGGGGUUAAUCUCGGACAGGAGACGCCGUUGGAUGGUGGGGGGUGGAAAGUCUCGGCGGUCGGGGCUGGAUUAGCGGAUUUCCAGCUUGUUGGUGGGGUAGUGGCUUACCAAGGCUUUGACGGGUAGCCGGCCUGAGAGGGUGACCGGCCACAUUGGGACUGAGAUACGGCCCAGACUCCUACGGGAGGCAGCAGUGGGGAAUAUUACACAAUGAGCGGGAGCCUGAUGCAGCAACGCCGCGUGCGGGAUGACGGCCUUCGGGUUGUAAACCGCUUUCGCCUGUGACGAAGCGUGAGUGACGGUAAUGGGUAAAGAAGCACCGGCUAACUACGUG
rnacentral:rRNA from 1 species